CCUGUCCUUCUGGGAACAAGGAGGUCACUUCUACAUAAUGCUCCUCCUUAGGGAAAAGGGGUUAUACCUAUCUCUCCUGAAUUGCAAAUGAGGAUCUGCCAAGCAAGUUGCAGUGCCCGAUGCUUCACGGAAGGCGUUAUCCUCUGCUUGGUUACACCUGGAGGGAAGCUUCUUCCAAGCACUGAUCACGAGAAGUCUAGACCAUAAGUCAUUUCCAGCCUGUAUAGUAAUGCAACGCAUCAGAAACACAACUUCUAUUCCAAUUCAUGUAAAUACUCCUCUUUAGAACAUCUUGAACUGCUUUUCUUGUUAGUGUGGUUUUGUAGCAGUCAACUCAUCCUGGCAAGUCAAGGGGUUGAAUGAGUCUGAUCAUACUGCUGUGCUUUAAUGCUGUCAUUGUUAGGUUUCUGCAGAUUCUGGUGGAUCUGCCUAACCAGUGAGUAAAGAUGAGUAAGGAACAUAAAGGAUUUCUUUAACCUCACUUCACAGGCUUUUUUUUUUUUUUUUCCCCUAUUCAAUUGCACUUUGAUCUAUUAGAGUUUUGGUUGCUUACAGACAUAAGCCACUGAGGUAUAUUGUGCUCACUUCCUCGUCAUUUGUUUUUCUGGACAGACUGUCCUUACUACUGAUUACCUGCCUGUUUUCCUUUUGAAAUCCAAGAGGAAAAAUACCGUAGCAAAUAAUCAUGUAAACAUUCUGUAAAUGCUUGGAAGAUAACAAGGAAAUGAGUAAUAGCCAGCAUGGAUUUGUCACGAACAAAUCGUAUCAGACUAAUCUAUUAUUUUCUGUGACAGUGUAACAGGCUGUUUGGGUAGGGAAGAGGCAGAUGAUGUCAUGUGUCCUGACAUUAGGAUGCUCUGACAUCCCUGCAGAUAAGCUGGGGAACGUGCUCUGGAUGUGGAUUUUCUGAUGUGGUUGGCUUUGUGUCCUCAGCAAGUAUUUCUCCAUGGGUCACUGUCAAAAUGGAAAUAAGUUGGCAGCGAGGCAUCAUAAGGGUCUGUAGUGACUCUGGGCAUAGUCAAUGUUUUCAUUAACAAUUAAUUGAUGGAAGAGGAAGGAUGUGUAUUAAACUUGCAGAUAAUUUUAAACAGAGAGAGACUGGAAGGUGUGUGAGGUAGUUCUUCCUGGCUACUAGAUCCUAGGAGAAUUUCCACUGGUGUAAUUGUGCAUAGGUCAAGGUAAUUUACACUUCUUCCUCGAAGUAAAG
rnacentral:lncRNA from 1 species